GGGGGUAUAGCUCAGCUGGGAGAGCGCUUGAAUGGCAUUCAAGAGGUCAUGGGUUCGAAUCCCACUAUCUCCACUA
rnacentral:tRNA from 1 species